rnacentral:rRNA from 1 species
GACGAACGCUGGCGGCGUGCCUAAUACAUGCAAGUAGGACGCAGUUGCGAACGGGUGAGUAACGCGUAGGUAACUGCCUAUUAGAGGGGGAUAACUAUUGGAAACGAUAGCUAAUACCGCAUACUAGUAGAUGGACCUGCGUUGUAUUAGCUAGUAGGUAGGGUAAUGGGCUACCUAGGCAACGAUACAUUGCCGACCUGAGAGGGUGAUCGGCCAAACUGGGACCGGGACACGGGCCAGACUCCUACGGGGGGCAGCAGGAGGGAAUCUUCGGCAAUGGGGGGAACCCUGACCGAGCAACGCCGGGUGGGUGAAGAAGGUUUUCGGGUCGUAAAGCUCUGUUGUUAAGGAAGCGGUACUUAACCAGAAAGGGACGGCUAACUACGUGCCAGCCGCCGCGGUAAUUC